AGUGAACGCUGGCGGUAGGCCUAACACAUGCAAGUCGAACGGCAGCACAGGAGAGCUUGCUCUCUGGGUGGCGAGUGGCGGACGGGCGAGGAAUACAUCGGAAUCUACUCUGUCGUGGGGGAUAACGUAGGUAAACUUACGCUAAUACCGCAUACGACCUACGGGUGAAAGCAGGGGAUCUUCGGACCUUGCUCGAUUGAAUGAGCCGAUGUCGGAUUAGCUAGUUGGCGGGGUAAAGGCCCACCAAGGCGACGAUCCGUAGCUGGUCUGAGAGGAUGAUCAGCCACACUGGAACUGAGACACGGUCCAGACUCCUACGGGAGGCAGCAGUGGGGAAUAUUGGACAAUGGGCGCAAGCCUGAUCCAGCCAUACCGCGUGGGUGAAGAAGGCCUUCGGGUUGUAAAGCCCUUUUGUUGGGAAAGAAAUCCAGCUGGCUAAUACCCGGUUGGGAUGACGGUACCCAAAGAAUAAGCACCGGCUAACUUCGUGCCAGCAGCCGCGGUAA
rnacentral:rRNA from 1 species